rnacentral:rRNA from 1 species
AUUGAACGCUGGCGGCAUGCCUUACACAUGCAAGUCGAACGGUAACGGGCCUUCGGGUGCCGACGAGUGGCGAACGGGUGAGUAAUACAUCGGAACGUGCCCGAUCGUGGGGGAUAACGAGUCGAAAGCUUUGCUAAUACCGCAUACGAUCUACGGAUGAAAGCAGGGGACCGCAAGGCCUUGCGCGGACGGAGCGGCCGAUGGCAGAUUAGGUAGUUGGUGGGAUAAAAGCUUACCAAGCCGACGAUCUGUAGCUGGUCUGAGAGGAUGAUCAGCCACACUGGGACUGAGACACGGCCCAGACUCCUACGGGAGGCAGCAGUGGGGAAUUUUGGACAAUGGGCGCAAGCCUGAUCCAGCCAUGCCGCGUGCAGGAUGAAGGCCUUCGGGUUGUAAACUGCUUUUGUACGGAACGAAAAGCCUUCUUUUAAUACAGGAGGGUCAUGACGGUACCGUAAGAAUAAGCACCGGCUAACUACGUG